UGUCCCUAGUUCUACUGUUCUACAGGUUGU
rnacentral:piRNA from 1 species